UACGUAGGGUGCGAGCGUUGUCCGGAAUUACUGGGCGUAAAGAGCUCGUAGGCGGUUUGUCGCGUCGGUUGUGAAAACCCAAGGCUCAACCUUGGGCCUGCAAUCGAUACGGGCAGACUAGAGUACUGCAGGGGAGACUGGAAUUCCUGGUGUAGCGGUGGAAUGCGCAGAUAUCAGGAAGAACACCCGUGGCGAAGGCGGCUCUCUGGAACGCAACUGACGCUGAGACGCGAAAGCGUGGGGAGCAAACAGG
rnacentral:rRNA from 1 species